GUCUGCAACUCGACUACAUGAAGCUGGAAUCGCUAGUAAUCGCAGAUCAGAAUGCUGCGGUGAAUACGUUCCCGGGUCUUGUACACACCGCCCGUCACACCAUGGGAGUCGGAAAUGCCCGAAGCCGGUGACCAAACCAAUAAGGAAGGAGCCGUCGAAGGCAGGUCUGACAACUGGGUGAAGUCGUAACAAGGUAUC
rnacentral:rRNA from 1 species